rnacentral:rRNA from 1 species
CAGAUGUGGAGCCUGCGGCUUAAUUUGACUCAACACGGGAAACCUCACCGGGCCAUGACACUGGAAGGAUUGACAGAUUGAGAGCUCUUUCUUGAUUCGGUGGGUGGUGGUGCAUGGCCGUUCUUAGUUGGUGGUGUGAAUUGUCUGCUUAAUUGCGAUAACGAACGAGAUCCUCACCUACUAAGUAGUCGAAUACCGGCAUCCUUGGUGCAGCCGGCGAAUAACACUCUUCUUAGAGGGACAAGCGGCGUCUAGCCGCGCGAAACUGGGCAAUAACAGGUCUGUAAUGCCCUUAGAUGUUCUGGGCAGCACGCGCGCUACAAUGAAGGGAUCAGCGUGUGUUUUCCUUGCCCGAGAGGGCCGGGUAACCCGGUGAACCUCCUUCGUGCUAGGGAUUGGGGCUUGCAAUUCUUCCCCACGAACGAGGAAUACCUCGUAAGCGGGAGUCAUUAGCUCCCGUUGAUUAUGUCCCUGCCCUUUGUACACACCGCCCGUCGCUACAACCGAUUGAAUAUUUUGGUGAGGUCUUCGGACUGGCGCGCGGCCCCUCUCUGAAGGGCUGAUGCGCCGGAAAGAUGACCGAACUUGAAUAUUUAGA